GACCGAAGAAGAAUUGAUGCCUUUGAAUUAUGGUGUUGGCGAAGAAUAUUGACUAUACCAUGGACUACCAAAAGCAACAACCUAAUUUCAAUCUGACUCCAUUUUUCUUUUCAAAGAGGAAUUGCAUACUUAUAAUUCUGCAGAUGAGAAGACAUCACACAUGUUGGAUUAGGACCCACCCUACUCAGUAUGACCUUCUGUUAACCUAGCUGAUAACAUCUGCAAAGAUCCUGCUUCCAUGCAAGGGCACAUUCACAGGUACUCAGUGUCUUCUGGAGUGGGAGAGAAAGCCGUGAAGCUACAUCUGUGAGUCCAGAAAUACAGAUCUCUUUCCAUCUUUCUUUAAACAUAGUAAUUCUCAACAAGGCAACAGAUAAGAAUCACCCGAGGAGUUUGGAUAGCAAUUUUUAGUGGUUCAGAAUGGAAGGAAUAUGGAUCUAUGGAAUGUUGGUGCUUGAUUCUUCAAUAAUAAAAGAGAUCUGAGGCAGAAGAAGGCAGGCUUGAGCUCCCAAAAGUGUGUCCUGAUGUCUGUCAAUCAACCCUGGUCCAUCAUGCUGCUACCAUCACGCUACUGGGAGUCCAGCUGGUGGACAGAGAGGUGGUGUAUCAACAGACCCAUUUUAUAAAAUGGAAAAUGGAAGAAACCUAAGUCAACAGAGCAGAGGAUGGAAAGCAAAGUCAUUUACUGCAGUGCACUCAUGUGCUGUUUUCUCUGCUUGGGACACUUUCUCACCCAGUGACCGCGAUGUGACCUAACUCUUGGCUAUUCUUCAGGUCUCAAUCUAAAAAGAAAAUACAUCUCCCAAAGAUUCAAUCAACUUCAACUGCCCCAGACACCCUGAACACAAGGUGGAGCCUAAACAAAACAUUUUCUUUAUGCAGGAAGCUACCAAAAUAGCCUCUGCAAGUCCUGCAAAGGGCAUUUAGUGAAACAGCAAAAUAAACAGGCACAUAAUGAAAGGCUGAUGGUGGCUGGGCUGAUGAAAAAGCCAGAGAGAAAGGAGCAAGUUUAUCUCAGUCAGGAUUCAGCUGCAAAGUCUGUCUUUCAAACGCCUAUGUUUAUGUCCUGCUUCCUUGGGUGUAAAUGCUCACAAGGUUGGUCAUAAUAACGAGCACCUUCAAGAAGGAUUUGGAACUUCUUGUAAUCCAGACUGCUGCAUGUGGGGCCCUCAGGCAUGGAUGGCAUGGAGUUGGCAGAGAUGCUAUUAAGUUGAGGAUAUCCUUCUGCCGCGAUUCAGUUCUUUCCAGAACCCUCAGUCAAGUCAUGAGAGCAGAGACUUUGACUGUCUCUGUGCCUCAAUGAACAAAUAAAACUGGGAAAGAGCCAUGGACUGAGCAGAAGAAAAAGUAACAGAAACCAAGGAAAGGAAACCCUCCACGUCCAUGGUUACGUUGGUUUCAUGUGACUGCAUGGGCCAAGUGGAGACGGAAGAAGGAAUUGCUCUUUUUUUGUUGUUUGUUUUCUGUCCUUUUUUUUUUUGGCGUCUGUAAAUUCUGUCAGGAAGCAAUCUUCUCUUCUUCUAUCUGGUGCCGGCUGCUCCAUCUGUUUGUUUUCUCUCAUGCCGUCCUCAUCUUUUGCCGCAGUGUGUCUCUUCUGGAAUGCCUCCCACCCUGCUCAUGCCAGGCUCUUGCUGAUGCUGUCACUUACAUAAGCCUGACAAAUGGCUUUAAAUCUGGUCUGAAAACUGCCCCCCCAAAGUGGGGUGUGCCCCCAGCUGCCUGCAGGUUAUCCAAGAGUUGGCUGCAAGGGAGUGUUACCUAGUUUGAGAAGACAAAAUAAAAACCACUUGGCUCAGCGUCGGAUUCUAAAGGAAAUAGGUUGGGUGACUCAAAGGUUUGAAUUUUCUGGCCACUGCUUUCAUAAUAAAAGCAUCAUUUUUGCCACCUGAA